rnacentral:misc_RNA from 1 species
AAAGUGCGAUAACUAGUGUGAAUUGCAUAUUCAGUGAAUCAUCGAGUCUUUGAACGCACAUUGCGCCCGCCAGUAUUCUGGCGGGCAUGCCUGUUCGAGCGUCAUUUCAACCAUCAAGCCCCGGGCUUGUGUUGGGGACCUGCGGCUGCCGCAGGCCCUGAAAAGCAGUGGCGGGCUCGCUGUCACACCGAGCGUAGUAGCAUACAUCUCGCUCUGGGCGUGCUGCGGGUUCCGGCCGUUAAACCACCUUCGUAACCCAAGGUUGACCUCGGAUCAGGUAGGAAGACCCGCUGAACUUAAGC